AUAGAAUGAAGUUGUUAAUCUCAUGUGAUAGCACAACUGGGCAAUAAUACUCUUUUUUAUAUAUAUAUUACCUGUAAAGUUAAUUAUAAUGCACUAAAGAAGGGCUUUUUGUACCAAAAACCUCAUGCUAGUCUAGAUGAAACUGAAGGUUUUUGGAAGACAGUUAAUAAACCAUCUUUUACUAGGAAAUGUGAAAAAUGACACAUGAAGACACUGACAGCAGCAUCUUAGUGGACCUCUCCUCACUCAUGUAACACCAAUAUUAGCAACUGAGCCAAAUGCAAAGUAUUCAGUGACAACUGAAACCACACAGCUGAUCCUACUAAGACACAUGGGGCAUUCUGCAGUGCAUAGCAUGCACCCCAAUCCUCCCCAGCACAGGUUCCCCAUACCUGUCUCAAAUAUUGUAUUUUAAACUCCAUAACCAGCAUAUGUGGAACUUGAAUAACUGAAGUACCUAAUGCUUUGACAGGAGGAGGUCUGAUGGGUGUCCAAAUAAGUUCAGCUGAAUGACCUUUUGAUACCUGUGUUUCUUUCAGAAGCAGUGAACUCGCAUCAACUCUGGACAAUUGAACUGCCAACUCCUUUUGACUCCUACAGAUAACCAGUGCUAGUCUAGCGAGCAUUAAAAGAGAUCUAACCUGCUUCCAUGGUCAGCUCACAACUGUGAACACCAGAUGAGGCACCAACAGCUGAGAACAUUUUUCGUCUUGAGAUCUACCCAAGUGCAAACAGUGGAUUAUACAACUAAACCACUGACGAGACAGGCACGUGGUGCCUCGGUCUGCCCUACCUGUGCAAGUAUUUCAUCCAGCCACAUGGCGUGAUGCUGUGGAUUGGCCAGCAGCCACUUGAUAGCAGCAUUGUAAACUUGCUUUUCAUUUUCAAUAUUUAGGUCACUGGAGGACAGCAGUUUAUGGAGGUGCUGUGGUGACACGCUCACGAAGUCCUCGCACUCCAUGACCUCCGCGAAAUGCUCACAAGCGAACUGAUCGGCCAUGUCCAUCAAGUCAAUGCGGUUGUGGCUCUCGGCAAACGCCCUGACUGCCAGGCAGUUGGAGGGGUGGAAGUGCAGCUUCAUGUAUUCACAGCAGGCCUUUGCCACCAGUUCCACCUGCAGAAUGCAGGCAGCGUACAAGAGGGGCUGGACGUUGUCCACCGUCAGCGUGAGCCGCGAGGAGUACGCGAACUUCACCAGGUCUUCUAUCGCGUCGCCGUCGAAGUCCCUGAUCUCGAUCAACUUCUGCUUGGCCUCAGCCAUUUCUGAAAGAAACAUGGCUCUGAAGUAAGGGAUGACACAAGCUAGAACCAGCUUGUGGCAGGAGAUAAGCUUUGAACCGACCUGAAAGAAAAAAAAGAACAAAAAAACCCUCCAUUUUACUGUAAUGUCAGUUUUGGCUGUGAAAAAGAUGAACGGUUAAGCUGAAAUAAGAAUUCUGGACUCGAUGUGCAUUAAAGCUACUGUAUUUCGUUGAAACAAAUUAA